UCCAGCCUGGGAGACAGAGAGAGAGAUCCUGUCUCAAACAAAACAUCAAACAAACAAACAAAAGAAUGGGCUUUAUGUAGAUUUGUCCUUGUAAGGCAGUGGUUCCAUAAAAGCAGUCUUUUCACUCUCCCUAUAUGCCCCCUCCCACUUCCAACCACCACCCCCAUCCCUCCCUGCCUCCACUUACACAUAAGCCCGCUCUCUAAGGGUAGGGACACUGCAAUCUUAUCCCUAGGGGCCCUUCUCUGUGCUUAUUGAGGGACCACUUGAUGCAAUCAGAAGGCAACUGGCCCUGCGGUCUGGCUGACUCUGAUCCUCAAACAUGUCACUCCACUCUCUGAGCCCCAGCUGCCUCAUCUACAAAAUGGGGAGAAUAGCUUAGGCACAUGAUUGAACUGCCAUCCAUCAAAAGAUAUUUAUUGAGAGCCAACUCUAAGUGGAGGACUCUUCCAGGCAUUGGCUGAUAAAAGAUGCAGCGCCUGGCCCAGCACCUGGCACCCAGCAGGCAUCCUUGGCUGGCAGCUCUAUUUGGACCUCUGGCUUAGAAAGACAGAAAGGCAGCCCCCAUUUAAUGGGGAAGCACGGUCCGCCUCCUAAUAAAUACUUGAUAGGGAUGGAAAAGCCCCCAUGGUUAACUGUUGGCCUAAAAAACUGUUACACCUGGUAAGUGUCUUUUCGCCCUCAUCCCCUCCCCCUACCAGGGGAUAUAUAUGGUCCCAGAGGCUUCAAAUUCAUUUCUAAUUAAUUUAAUAUUCUUCAAUUACAAAAGUAAUACAUACUCAGUGUUUGCAAUAAAAACCCUCAAACAAUUCAGUCAGGUAUAAAGUACAAAUAAAAGGCCCCCUGUCCUAUUCCCAGA